rnacentral:lncRNA from 1 species
CAAGCACCAAGAAUAUAGUAGUGAAAAUAGAAAUAGAAACUACAAUUUUGCAAGUAUUCCCGACAAAACCAGCUGUGAGGAAGAGUGAUCUAUAAACGUUUUGGGAUUUCCAAAUUCCCAAUAUUAUAAACCCAUACCUCAUAACUCUGUCAGAAAUAUACUAAUACGGAAAAUGCAUUACUCACUUUUUUAUAUAUAUGGGAAAGAAUCCUACUUUCCAUCUAUUUGUUUAGGGAUGAUCUUAGGGGUCUAAUAUCGUUUUUCACUUUUUCAAUGAUAGUGAAGGUUCUCAAAUCGACUACUAUUAGGUUAUGUUAAAUCGGUCUAAACAAACAAGAAGAAGAAUGCAGUCAUAUCAAUGCAGUCCUAAUAAAAAUUUUAAGUCCUAGGCCGGUGCUUAUCAGUCUUUUGUAGAAACUGCAACAGCUAAAAUGACGUAGUUAGUGCUAACUACGUCUGUAGUAUUGGGGAAUUGGAAGUGCAGAUUGAAGUUGACUCGAUGUGUAGUUCUCUGUAUAGCAUGAAUUCAGCCUUAUAUAUGGAAUUAAUAUCACUUUUUAAUUUGUUAGAGAUGACUAAUUAGUUUGUUAUGUAUAUCAAGGACAUUAAAGGAAUUAAAUCGAUGAAAGAGCUUUCUUUGAAUAGAAUAUAAAAUAGAGCUGACUUUUGGAGGAAUAGAUUCAUGAGUUUCAAUAAAGUAGCUGGAAGCUGAGAACUCGCUUUCUUUCUCAUUAGUUUUUUAUUUGAUUAUUCUUGCUCUAAAUCUAAUACGUUACUCCUCAGUUAUCAUAAGGGUAUACAAGAUUCUAUAGAAGAUUUGCAGCGGCUUCUGCAUUCUUGAAACGAUGAUAUACAAGAUUAAAAGGCACUAUCACAGACCUUAAUGUUAAAGUGUAUCUCCACAAUAAAUGAUCUUUUCAUUCAUCGAGAUAAGAGCUAAGGAGUGAGGCAAAGACUACCUCCAAAGAGACGACAUCACUGAACAUUAAGUUAAAAGUAAUAUGCGUACUCCUAGGAUAUUCCAAUGAAAAGAUAUUAAUUUAUUGGAUAAACUAGGGGAUGCAGAUCCAUACAUCCGAAUGUUCUGUCGAAAAGAUCAAUCGAAAUAAAAUAAACCGAUAAACCAGAACUACCAAGAACCACAAUUUAUACUAUUUCCUCUCAUAGUUAUAACUAGUGAUAUCCAAAUAAUGUAUAUAAAUUGAGCUAAAUAUGCAAAUGAAAAUGCAGAAAAAGGCCAAAAAUGCAAAUGAAUCUGUAGGUUCUUCUUCCAUUGAAUUAUCAUCUGGCCCUUCAGAUGGUCCUCGAUCAGCCUAUUCCUCUUUUUAGUAAGGAAAUCAUUGAAAACACUGAAGGCCCUCUCACAGACCAUGGAUGUCAUGGAGGCACAGUUGAAGCUUGCUAUGGUGUUGGGAUCUUCCUUCCUGCCAGGGACACUUGCACGAGAGAGCAGAGAGCCAAUGUAUUCCUUGUUCCAUAAUAAAACACUGGGUAAUAAUAACACACGUGUAUUGGUGUAACAAUGCAUUAAUGUCUCUAACAUCUAAUUGCCAAACUAUUCCCAAAAUAAUUUUAUUAUUUGUGGGGGGUCCAAGUUACUUUCUUUUCACAACAUUAUCCCGGUCUUUGGUUAAAAAAAAAAUUGUUAAAAUAAAUGUGCCCUAUAUUUCCCCUGUAUUCAUCAUUCGGGUUUUGGAAUAGACAGACAAGUUGUAAGGUUUGUCCGACCCCCAUGACAGUUUUACCAUGUUGUAUAAUUUUAUAAUAUUUUUAUUUCUUAGAUAUAUAUCAAACAAUUGUGAUGUUUAAUGGUUGCCUUUUUAAUAAUUUUGUAUAAACUAUUUUAUGUCGUCUUUCCUUACUCAAUUCAUGUUGAUGAGUAUCAGCAACAUCUCUCUCUCUCAUGUCUCUUCUGAAUUGUAAGGUACUGGUUCUACAGACGUGGUAGCUGGUAAAGAAGUUGAGAUCUGAGAAGAAAUAAGCUCUAUGAUAUUAAUUUGGCCUCGAAAUAUAAAUUUAUUUAAUGA